rnacentral:rRNA from 1 species
UGGGGAAUAUUGGACAAUGGGCGAAAGCCUGAUCCAGCCAUGCCGCGUGUGUGAAGAAGGUCUUCGGAUUGUAAAGCACUUUAAGUUGGGAGGAAGGGCAUUAACCUAAUACGUUAGUGUUUUGACGUUACCGACAGAAUAAGCACCGGCUAACUCUGUGCCAGCAGCCGCGGUAAUACAGAGGGUGCAAGCGUUAAUCGGAAUUACUGGGCGUAAAGCGCGCGUAGGUGGUUUGUUAAGUUGCAUGUGAAAUCCCCGGGCUCAACCUGGGAACUGCAUUCAAAACUGACUGACUAGAGUAUGGUAGAGGGUGGUGGAAUUUCCUGUGUAGCGGUGAAAUGCGUAGAUAUAGGAAGGAACACCAGUGGCGAAGGCGACCACCUGGACUAAUACUGACACUGAGGUGCGAAAGCGUGGGGAGCAAACA